rnacentral:rRNA from 1 species
CGGACGGGUGAGUAACGCGUGGGUAACCUGCCUUGUACAGGGGGAUAACAGUUGGAAACGGCUGCUAAUACCGCAUAAGCGCACAGCAUCGCAUGAUGCAGUGUGAAAAACUCCGGUGGUAUAAGAUGGACCCGCGUUGGAUUAGCUUGUUGGUGAGGUAACGGCCCACCAAGGCGACGAUCCAUAGCCGACCUGAGAGGGUGACCGGCCACAUUGGGACUGAGACACGGCCCAA